rnacentral:RNase_P_RNA from 1 species
GGGGCAGAUCGGGCAAUCGCGGCGUCUUCGGGCGUCGAGGAAGGUCCGGACUCCACAGGACACGAUAGCGGCUAACGGCCGUCCGGCGACCCCAUUCGGGCAAGCCGAGGACCAGGGCCACAGAGACGAGUCUGUCGCGGGGGUGCGCCGACGGGCGCACACAGGUACGGCCAUCUCCGUACCGCACAGGGGUUUCCCUUGUGCCGUGGCAGGGUGAAACGCGGCAACCUCUAUCCGGAGCAACACCAAAUAGGCAUGUGCAGGCUUGAUGCCGACAGGGCGGUCCGCCCGAGCAUGCGGGUAGGUGGCCAGAGCACGCCAGCAAUGGCCUGCCCAGAGGAAUGAUUGCCCGUCGGGAUUUCCCGGCGUACAGAAUCCGGCCUACAGAUCUGUUCCGCAC